GAACCCUUUUGAAUAUAAAUAGAACCACCUUUUAUUUAUCACCAUAUUGAUUACACAUUAUUCAUUGUAUAAUGUUUCAAACAAUCAACUUAAGACUUGAAUAAAAACAACAGUCGUCCCAUGCUCCUAGCAUGUACACUUUGUUUUUCUAAACAAUAGUUAUGCCAUACUCCAAGUAUGCACACUAUGUUUGUCUAUGAUCCUUACAUUGUGAUGUAGAUCAAUUGAACAUGAUUCCAAUGAUACUCAUUUCACAAUCCCAAAUCCUUAUUGUAAAUGUGAGAAUCCCCGAUUCCUAUCAUUUACCAAAAAAACUGUUAGAUUUUAAACUUUUAUGCAAUGUUCCUCUUGUAAUGAUUAUGCACAAAGUCACCAAAACCUUGUCACCAGUCAUUACAGAGUAUUCCAAAGAAGGUCAACUUCUAUGGAACGGAAGUCUCAUAUUCAAAGUACAUUGCUUUGAACAUCCUUCUUGCAUUAAGGUUUUCUAAUCUUACAUAGAUUGAAUAACUUCCACCUAUGGAGACAUUUCCAUAGUCCCAUUUUGACUAUCACUUCCGAACAAGAGUUACUUCUUUUCAGAAUAUGUCAAUAUGGUCCUUUCCGACAACUUACAUCAUACUUCCAACUUUCCCUGAGCAACCAAUCUUUGGCGAACCUCAGAUUGUCCUCGACAAUUGCUUAAUCACUUUAGUCAUAUCCAGUUCUAGACUUUUCCCUUCUCAAUGCCUUAAGCAUUUGGAAAAUUUAGAAAAGAUGAAUAUUAUAGCACAUGCAAUCGAUCCUAUAUCCGAAGCAUAUGGGACACGAUUCAUGAUGUUUGACAUAAAGACAUGAUACUAGACCAGUCUUUUGCUACAAUAUUUUUUAUUUGCCAUGUUUUCAAAAUUUAACUAUGAAGAGGGAUGCCGUAAUCAUAAUCGAAUUUUGAAAACGCAAUAUAUAUAGAAUUUCUUCAAGUUGAACCAUUCCAACAUAAAAUUCAUAUAUAUAUUCUUGACUAAAGAUGAUUAAAAUCUCAAUCUAAGCUUUAGAAUUGAAAUGAAGUAUAAUUUCCUCUCCCUUAAUUAUAGCAAAACAACUUUUCAACCCCUGCAACUUCACGAAUUGAAACUUUGUUUUCUAUAAUUAACAUUGCUAACUUGCAACACUAAACGUAAUAAUCAUGCUCCCACUAACAUGAUGAUUAUCAGCAUAACACUUAUGCUCCCACUAGCUCUGACAUAUUUCCAGAAAUCUGCUGGACUUCUGAAAUUUAGAUUCAUACACCCUUUCUUAGAUAGCUCACAUGUGUGUCUAAACAAUUUUCAGAACUAUGAAAAGGGAUGCCGUAAUCAUAGUCUCAAUUGCUUAGGCAUUUGCCAUUUCUCACAAGUCCAUGUUAGUGUGCCGGUUAACCACACGCGCUCCACUAACGACUUUUGAAAAUGCAAAUAACACAAUUGAUAUCUACGUAAAAUCUACUUAGUGAAAGCGUUUCCUCACCAUCAUUUUCAUGAAUCGGAGAGAAACCUUAUGACACUUAGAUUUUAUAGUGUAUGAGUUCCUAUCCAUGUGAAUUUGUCAAAACCAUAAUCACAAGAUAAGGUUAGUGACAAAUUCAGCCUUACAUGGAUUAAACUUGUUCAAUCUUAGUUUCUUGUCACCUUGGUAGCACAAGGCCCACCAAUGCUUCCAAGUUGAACUCUGAUAACUCACAUGCAAAUUCAACUUAUUUGAAGUAGGUACAGAAAUAAGAAUUAUGUCAACACGAUAGGUUGCAAACCUUAAGUCGUGUGCUAGUGAUAAAUUACAGGUUUUACUCUUGAUUAAAUCUUGAAACUCUUUCAGGAUCUUUAAGGCUCCCACUGUCCCCUUGACAUAUAAGUUUCCCCAGUCAAGAACCAUUCCUUGACAAAACAAAUAUUCAAGGGAUAGUGCGGAUUCUUAUCAAGACUAACACUUCACACAAUUGGUCUUAGUUGGUCUUUGUCUCAUCCAAGACAUCACAACUUACCAAUCUCAAAUGUACAAGAGUAGAAAACAUUUUACUCUUACAUUUGACUAGUGUUAAUAAAUCUUCCUUUAUGUCACUCAAAGUUACAAUCUUGGAGUAUGACUCUAAGAAUUGUUUUGGAACGAAGUAUGACUCAUCUUCUUGAUUUUAACCAAUCCAACAAUUCAUGACCUCUCUUCUUAGCCAUAACAAUGCACUAAGACGUCCUUAGAGUAUGAAUUUGUGAUAUGGUUUCAUAAUCAUUAAGAUGAUCAUGAAAUACGAUACUAAAGUACUCUCCCAUCCUUUCAGAUUUGAGAAACUUUUAUCUUUCUGCCUAAUUUGAUUCUUCUCAUUUGUUUUGUCAUACAUUGUAACCUUUCCAAUGUUACAGAAUUAUACUUAACCUCAUAAGUAUAAUCAUAUUUACUAAUCUUUAGUAAAUCAUGACAAAUCAAUCUUUGUGGUGGACCUUGACCAGCGCACACCCAGUGUACCUAAUUCCUUAGUCCUUCAAUUGACUCACAUAUACAUGUGAUCAAAGAAUUAGUCUUAAUUUUCAAAGAUGAAAAUUCUCAUUCAUCAUACAAUACAACUUGUAUGAUUCCAAGUUUCUGUCCAAUUGAAACUUGGGUGAUGAAAAACUUUCUUCAUUUGGUAAAUUCAGACACUACCACAAAUGAAAGAAUCAAAUCCACUUUCCAAUAUUGCUAUUACUGGAAACAUAUAAGCAACAAUUUUCCACAGAUGCCAUUGUAAGGAUAUUUUUAAAAUAAAUAAAAUUAAAACCCUUUUUUUUUUUUUUUUUAAAACUUUGCGGAAAAACUUAUCCUUACAAUCCACAUGAAAACCUUGUUGUUAUCUAUUCAUAAGCAAUAUAUUAUAACUCUUAAGCAACAGCUCAAAAUUCUGAUUACCGAACCAUGCGAUCGAAACCCACCUUCGCAAUCAGAAUCAACAUAUACUUACUUUAAGCUUCCUAUCUUUUCUUUGAUUCUUAAAAACAUCAGCAUGUGACCCAUUCACAUUAUGUAAUAAGAAUCUCCAAAUAGGAACUUAAUAGAGUUAGACAGUGGACUUUACCCGAAGUAGAGUCAAACCUCUUGACUUGAUCAACCUUAUGACCUUUCAGGUGAAUAGGGCAGCUUCGCAACCAAUGCCCCUUCCUUUGGCAACAAAACACAUGGACCCUUUGGUAAUGGCACAUGAGACUAUCUCAGACUUAGCCUUUCUCUUUACCAUUUGGUCAACCGAGUUGACUAUGGCCGAUCCCUUUCCAUUGGGAAGAGAAAUCCUUUUCUAGAUAUCCAAUGCUACCAUUGUCAAUGUCCAUUUAAGACUUGGGAAGUUGUUCUUUUAAUCAAAUUUGCUUUACUGGUGUUCCAAAUCAUUGCUGAUUCCACAACACCAAGCAAAUAGAUAACAUCAUUAAGGGUCAUGUCAUAGUCUGUCUCAUAGUAGUCCCAAAGAGACUCACUAUGUUACUAAGAAAGUGAUUGAACAUCCAACUUUCACGAGACUUUGACACCCAACUCUCCCGGCUUGUCAAUAUGUGACUUUAUCUCCAAGAUGUGAGCACACAUAGACUAUGCUUGCCAAUAGGGAUUGAGUGACUUUAAACUUUUCAAGAACUUGUGGGUGAGGGAGAAUAAUUGGAGGAGGUGGAGGAAGUGAAGCAUGAUGUUGAGGGACACCAUCUUCAAGAGAUUUGGGAAGAUCAUAGUUGUCUGAACCAGACAUCUAUAAUGGGAGAAAAUCAAGUUAGUUGAUUCAAAGUCCUUAAUAUAACACCCAAUAUGAAAUAUUAAGGCUAGGACCCAACACAAUAUUUUAUAAUUUGGAAGAGGGAUGCCGUAAUCCAAGCUAUAAAAUAUUUGAAGGUAGGCGAAUGACGAUUCACCAAUUUCCACCAUGAAAAACGAAAUAAUUUAUUAGGUUUUAAUUGGAUUUGAAAUUCCUAGAUCUUUUGAGAUUCAUUGAACUUUUCAAUGGCAUGUUUCAAUCUCGAGUGUGCCCUCUCAAAUUUUGUGACUGGGAUGCCGAGGAUCACAAAACAAGGUGUGAAUAACCAUACCAAUUCACUUGGUACCCUUAAUAUUAUCACCUAAUCAAUGUGCCGGUUAACCACACACGCUCCAUUGAUCUAUGACAAACAUUAAGUCACCCUUCGUGAUCCUUACUAGUCCAAGUUAGUGUGCCGGUUAACCACACACGCUCCACCAACGACUUGGUAAGGUACAAAGUGUGAAUUCCAUGGGCUAGCACCAAAUUCACAUUUUUCCUAAAGUAACUAAGAUUGGGAAUUAAAUAAAAAAUUUUUAGUUACUUUAUAAUAAUCAUUAUACUUUUAAUGAGAAUUUAAAGUCAUUGUCCUACCCGUUCGGCUAACGACCCUCCACCGAUCAAGCAAGCGGUGGGUGAGAGUGGACACCCAUUAAGUCGCCAUUUUAUAGGCAACAACCUUAUACCCACCUUAUAGACCGGCUUCGUGAAUGAGGCCUACUAACGGUAAAACGACUUGUUCUUAUACAUAUAUAUAAUAAUUAACCAUUAAUGUUAUAAAUAGUAUAAGUGUUGAAUUUUAACUUUUAAAACUCUAAGUGUUGGAAUUAAAGUUUAUUAAAGUGUGUGAAACUUUUCAAAUUCCAAAACUUGAGGGCAAGUUUUGUAACUAUCCAAAACUUUUCAUUUCAUAACUUAUGAAUUAAAGGUUCAUAAAAAUGAAGACUCUUCAUUUUCAUGUAACUUAUGUGUUUAAAUGUGUGUGUUAAAGAAAAGUGACCUUUGGAUAUCCAUAACUUGAGGACAAAUUAUGGACUCCAUUAAAACACAUAAAUGAUCAAGAAUUAAUUCUAAACAAUUCAGCAAAUAAUUCCUAUCAUCUUCUAAAUUCAUAAGAACAUGAACAUGAUCAUCAAAAUUUCAAGAAUUAUAUGAACACAUAAAAAUCAUGGAAUUUUGAUAUAUGCUAUUGUAAAUGGAUUAGAACAACCAUUACACCAACUAAAACAAGUUUUAAAACACCAAAACAGUUUAGGGUAAUGUUUCUAGUCCAUUUCCAGCAGCAAAAGUCGAAAUUCUGCAUUCUGAUCAUUCUACUCGCCGAGUGCACGAACCUACUCGCCGAGUAGGAUGAAUUUUGCCUUGAACUCGGCGAGUCCCCCCAUGGACUCGGCGAGUCCAUCAGCCAGACAGCAACAAUUUCAACUUUUUUCACUAUUUUGCAUCAAGUAUCAAACAAGCAAGCCUAGGCUCUGAUACCACUGUUGGGUUUUGAGCAAUCUAACACUUCCUAAGUGUGCAUGCAACCCUAAUAAACCUUGGAUCUAUGUUUGUCUAAAUACAUGCAAAAUAAUAAUUUUCCAAGGUUCAUAACCUAUCUAACAUGGCAUGGGGAACAUUUCAACAUAAAAGAGUUAGAAGAGAUUACAUACCUUUUUGAUGAGUUUGGUUCUUAAGGAGUUUGAGGGCCAAGCACCAAUAGUGUGAAUGCCUCAAAUGGAAUCACAAAACACCACAAACUCUUGGAAAACUUUGAGAGAGUAUACACACUUGUAUUUUUGGCCACACACAAGCACACACACACUAGUUCACUAGUUGCCAUUUCAUGCUCCAUAAGCAUGCUUAUAUAGUGUGCAUGGUUAGGGUGAAACCCUAAUAACCCAUGACCUUUCCUUUUCCAAGGAUCCAUGGGUUAAAAGCUCCAUGGAUCAUCCAUGGACUUCCAUAUAAGCCUAGCCCAUUAACAAAUGAGUGUUAGCCCACACCAUAUAAAACCAAUAGCCCAUAAUCUAAUUAGUCUUCCUUUUAAUCUCUAAAUUAAUUCAUAAUUAAUUUAAGACUAAGACUAAUUAAAUAACAUAACUUCAUAUUAAUAUAUUAUAACUUAUAAUAUAUUAAUAAACAUAUGUGUAUAACUCUCAUAAAAUUAUCCAUAAAUAGUUCGGGUGAGAUGCAACCCAAAUGGACCAUGCCGGGUCGGGUCAAGUAUAUACCAAAUAAGUUAUGGACUUAGACACCUUAUCCAACAGACUCCCACUUGGAUAAGUCUAAUAACUAUAUUUGCGUAUGUUACUUCAGGAACCAACCAGCAAUCGUAGCUCUCGAAAACUCUGUUGAACUAUGAAGCGCCAUUUUAGAUAAGUGAUCAUAUAAUCCUCUGUUCUCAUGAUAUCAGCCGGACAAAUACAUGGAACAACGUCGUACUUAUUGUCCAGCAGUUUGUUUCCCGAUUUUCGAUUUGUUUGACAAAGAACUUAAUCGAACACAUCAAUUUAGUUCUGACCGGCCGGUACAUAGGUCACAACAAAAUCAUCGAGGGGCCCAGAUAUCGCUUCUAUUUCUAGAAGGAACAGAUAAACUUCGACUCAUAUGCUUGUUCUACUACUUGUUGAAUUGUACACAAAGGCACGUUUUAUAACAUCAAGUUACUGAUGCGUUUACGUGCAAUCAAUGCACAACCAACUCAUAGGUAACAACUCAUAUCUCUAGGUUUGAAGAUUUAUAUGAUAUUACCGUCUCACGAUCACUCGAGAUAAAUUCCAUGAAGUGAUACAAGUGAGCGUGGGUUUAUUCCAAUACUCAUAACUUAUGAGCACUCAUGAAUGUUGUAGCAACCAUUGCUAUGACUAAACCCAUUUAGCCAUCUACAAACUCGAUUCAUGACAGUCUUGAUUCAUACCUACUUCCAACAUAUGAACGACUGUGGAGUGUUUAAAUAACUUAGUCAUUCGGAAAGAAUAACCUAGCUAUUUUGGAAGUCAAAACAUGCAAAGUGAAACACAAUAAUAAUCGAAUCCAAUAUGGUCUCAGAACCCUUUUGAAUAUAAAUAGAACCACCUUUUAUUUAUCACCAUAUUGAUUACACAUUAUUCAUUGUAUAAUGUUUCAAACAAUCAACUUAAGACUUGAAUAAAAACAACAGUCGUCCCAUGCUCCUAGCAUGUACACUUUGUUUUUCUAAACAAUAGUUAUGCCAUACUCCAAGUAUGCACACUAUGUUUGUCUAUGAUCCUUACAUUGUGAUGUAGAUCAAUUGAACAUGAUUCCAAUGAUACUCAUUUCACAAUCCCAAAUUGUUAUUGUAAAUGUGAGAAUCCCCGAUUCCUAUCAUUUACCAAAAAUCUGUUAGAUUUUAAACUUUUAUGCAAUGUUCCUCUUGUAAUGAUUAUUCACAAAGUCACCAAAACCUUGUCACCAGUCAUUACAGAGUAUUCCAAAUAAGGUCAACUUCUAUGGAACGGAAGUCUCAUAUUCAAAGUACAUUGCUUUGAACAUCCUUCUUGCAUUAAGGUUUUCUAAUCUUACAUAGAUUGAAUAACUUCCACCUAUGGAGACAUUUCCAUAGUCCCAUUUUGACUAUCACUUCCGAACAAGAGUUACUUCUUUUCAGAACAUGUCAAUACGGUCCUUUCCGACAACUUACAUCAUA
rnacentral:lncRNA from 1 species